GUGAAUCAUCGAAUUUUUGAACGCAAAUUGCACUCUCUUCGGAGAGUAUGCCUGUUUGAGGGUCAGCCUAAAAAAAAUCGACAUAGUCGCUGUUUCGCGGUGGCGUUCGUCGGAAAUUGGGUUAUCUUAAAUCUUUGGGUUAUGAGACUUAUAAUAUUCUCUUCGAUAUCAUACACGUUUUC
rnacentral:misc_RNA from 1 species